UACGUAGGGCGCAAGCGUUAUCCGGAAUUAUUGGGCGUAAAGAGCUCGUAGGCGGUCUGUCGCGUCGGCUGUGAAAACCCCAGGGCUCAACCCUGGGCCUGCAGUCGAUACGGGCAGACUAGAGUCCGGCAGGGGAGACUGGAAUUCCUGGUGUAGCGGUGAAAUGCGCAGAUAUCAGGAGGAACACCGGUGGCGAAGGCGGGUCUCUGGGCCGGAACUGACGCUGAGGAGCGAAAGCGUGGGGAGCGAACAGG
rnacentral:rRNA from 1 species